AACCUGGUUGAUCCUGCCAGUAGUCAUAUGCUUGUCUCAAAGAUUAAGCCAUGCAUGUCUAAGUAUAAACUGCUUUAUACUGUGAAACUGCGAAUGGCUCAUUAAAUCAGUUAUAGUUUAUUUGAUGGUACCUACUUACUCGGAUACCCGUAGUAAUUCUAGAGCUAAUACGUGCGUACAUCCCGACUUCUGGAAGGGACGUAUUUAUUAGAUAAAAGGCCGACCGGGCUUGCCCGACUCGCGGUGACUCAUGAUAACUUCACGAAUCGCAUGGCCUCGCGCCGGCGAUGUUUCAUUCAAAUUUCUGCCCUAUCAACUUUUGAUGGUAGGAUAGAGGCCUACCAUGGUGGUAACGGGUGACGGAGAAUUAGGGUUCGAUUCCGGAGAGGGAGCCUGAGAAACGGCUACCACAUCCAA
rnacentral:rRNA from 1 species